GUGGAUAUAGCUCAGUUGGUAGAGCGCCAGAUUGUGGUUCUGGAUGUCAAGGGUUCGAGCCCCUCUAUCCACCCUA
rnacentral:tRNA from 1 species